rnacentral:rRNA from 1 species
UAACAAGGUCUCCGUUGGUGAACCAGCGGAGGGAUCAUUACCGAGUUUACAACUCCCAAACCCCUGUGAACAUACCACUUGUUGCCUCGGCGGAUCAGCCCGCUCCCGGUAAAACGGGACGGCCCGCCAGAGGACCCCUAAACUCUGUUUCUAUAUGUAACUUCUGAGUAAAACCAUAAAUAAAUCAAAACUUUCAACAACGGAUCUCUUGGUUCUGGCAUCGAUGAAGAACGCAGCAAAAUGCGAUAAGUAAUGUGAAUUGCAGAAUUCAGUGAAUCAUCGAAUCUUUGAACGCACAUUGCGCCCGCCAGUAUUCUGGCGGGCAUGCCUGUUCGAGCGUCAUUUCAACCCUCAAGCACAGCUUGGUGUUGGGACUCGCGUUAAUUCGCGUUCCCCAAAUUGAUUGGCGGUCACGUCGAGCUUCCAUAGCGUAGUAGUAAAACCCUCGUUACUGGUAAUCGUCGCGGCCACGCCGUUAAACCCCAACUUCUGAAUGUUGACCUCGGAUCA